UGCCAGCCGCCGCGGUAACCCAGGAGCCACAAGUGGCAACCGCUUUUAUUGGGCCUAAAGCGUCCGUAGCCGGUUACGUAAAUCUUCUGUGAAAUCGUCUUGCUUAACAUGACGGCGGGCAGAAGAGACUGCAUAACUAGGGACCGGGAGGAGUGUGAAGUAUUUUGAGGGGAGCGGUAAAAUGCUAUAAUCCUCGAAGGACUACCUGUGGCGAAGGCGUCACACUAGAACGGAUCCGACGGUGAGGGACGAAAGCUAGGGGAGCAAACAGGAUUAGAUA
rnacentral:rRNA from 1 species